rnacentral:rRNA from 1 species
GGGCCCGCACAAGCGGUGGAGCAUGUGGUUUAAUUCGAUGAUACGCGAGGAACCUUACCAGGGCUUAAAUGUAGUUUGACCGGUCUGGAAACAGACUUUCUCUUCGGAGCAGAUUACAAGGUGCUGCAUGGUUGUCGUCAGCUCGUGCCGUGAGGUGUUAGGUUAAGUCCUGCAACGAGCGCAACCCCUAUUCUUAGUUGCCAGCGGUUCGGCCGGGGACUCUAAGAAGACUGCCAGCGCAAGCUGAGAGGAAGGUGGGGAUGACGUCAAAUCAUCACGGCCCUUACGUCCUGGGCUACACACGUGCUACAAUGGUAGAGACAGAGGGCAGCCACCUGGUGACAGGGAGCGAAUCCUUAAACUCUAUCUCAGUUCGGAUUGUUGUCUGCAACUCGACAACAUG